CGUAGUUCAAUGGAUAGAGCACCGGUUUCCGAAGCCGGUAAUCCGGGUUCGAAUCCCGGCG
rnacentral:tRNA from 1 species